UUUGAUAUAUAUUUUUUAAUACUAUAUGUAUAUCUAUUGAUCUAAUUUUUUGAUUGUGUCAAUGAUCUCACGCCAUAUGCCAAUAGCAGUUGACUUGUCGGCCACAAGAUACAAGAUUAGGGUUCACUUGAACAUAUUUCAUAGGUUUACAUCCGUAUUGAAGUGGCGACAUGUUCUCUACUUUUUGCCGUCGUUUUGAGUGUCAUGGUUGGAGAUUUACCCUCGUGAUAGUCUUUAUACCAUUUUUGGUUUAAACAAUUCCAUUCAAUUGGUUAAUGGUAAGUUGAUAUUUGUUCCUUUCAUGAUUUUUGCAACUAAUGGUUUGUAAUUUAGAUGAUGGUACCUGCAAUGCACAUAACCUGUUUGUGAAAAUGCCUAAGUGAAUGUUUGUUGAAACAAAAAUUGUAUGCUUGAAAGUUUAUGUCACUGACGUAUGUAUAUGUAAAUAUUGUUAUAUGUAUUUUAGUUUUAAUA